ensembl:lncRNA
CUUUAUACUAAGGCACAAUCUUACAGCUGUUUCACUGGACCAUCUACUGAAAAUUUUCAAUGAGCAUUUUCCAGGCAUGGUACCAGUGACCACAUAUCUUUUCCGAAAAGCUUAUGGUCAGUAUGGAAAUUAUGAACCCCAUUUCUACUGUCCAACAUGUGAAAACUACUUAGGGAAAAAUACUGGUGAGCUACAGUGUGACAUUUGUCACACAGUAACUGAUUCAGACAGCUCUCUUAAAAGUGGAUGCUUUUUCCUGGUUCUUAGUUUGGCCUCACAGAUCAAAACAUUGCUUGAGGAAAAACAAACAAAAAUUCAAAAAGAUUGGCUGAAUUCAGAUACAAUUUCAGACAUCCAAUGUGGAGAUGAGUAUCAAAAACUUAAGGAAUCUGGUGCAAUGGGUGAAGAUGACAUAUCUUUAAAUUGGAACUGUGAUGGAAUCCCACUGUUCAGAAGCUCCAAGUACCAGAUCUGGCCCAUACAGUGCCAAGUAAUAGAGCUUGAGCCUAGAGAACAAAAGGCAAAUAUCUGCAUUCCAUGUCUUUGGUUUGGGGAAAAAAAGCCCUAUAUGCUCACAUUUUUGAAGCCAUUCGUAGAUGAACUGUCAAUUCUACAGAAAGAUGGAAUUAAAUGGAAAGAUUCAGCAAACAUAGAGCACACUUCCAAGGUUUUUGCUCUCAUAUGUAGUUCUGAUUCAGUCGCCCGCCCACUUCUAAGGAACACUAAACAGUUCAAUGGUUUUUAUGGGUGUGACUUUUGCUACCAUGUUGGGGGAGGUCCCUACACAAAUAAAGACCCUGUGCCAAAACUUAGAACUGAAGUAGAGCACUUUGAUCACGCAUUGGCCGCAACACUUGAGAAAACUGUAAUGGGAGUAAAAGGACCUUCACCUUUAAUGAGACUUGAAAACUUUCAAAUGAUAAAUGGAUUUGUUCCAGAGUAUCAACACUCUGUCUGCCUUGGGGUUACAAGGCAACUAGCUAAUCUGUGGUUUGACUCCAGAAAUCAUGAACAAGAGUGGUACAUAGGAACAAAAUCAGACCUUCUAGACAAAGAGCUAGUUACAAUCAAACCACCUGUUGAGAUAAUCAGAGUACCACGGUCUGUGGCAGACAGAAAGUACUGGAAGGCAUCAGAGUGGAGGUCAUUCCUCUUAUUCUAUGCUCUGCCUCUUCUGAAUGGGGUUUUACUGAGGAAAUUCUGGAACCACCUUUUUCUGUUUGUGUUUGCUAUGCACAUUCUGUUGGGAGAAAAAGUGAAACGCUGUGAUAUUGAUGUAGCA